CCCCCCUCCCCCCUAUAAAUUACUGCAAACAGCAUCACCGCCUCCACUUGUACAGCUGAAGACAGCAGAAAGCUUCCUCCACCUGAGCAGCUUGUUGGAGACGAGCAGCUUGUUGGAAACAGCAGUGAAGAUGAAUCUCCUGCCCUGGAUGAUGCUGGUGUUCCUGCUCUCAGCUGGGACCAAUUUGGCUGAUGUGGACGUGAACUGGCUGGCUGGGAUUGUAGAGGCCAUCACAACGCACGUCAGGAGUCAUUUUACAAAAUUCCUUCAUGAGAAUUACGACAACAGUAAAGAGCCUUGAACUUUACUCCAGCCUCUGACUUUCUCUUGAAGCCUGUUAGCCAUCUGUCAGUGUGUACAGUCCCUCACACUGAGGACAGAAUAAAAACAUAAAGAGUA